GAAUUCUAGGUCCUUUAUUCAGUUAUCCGCAUAGCUUUUCUAUUUAUUAGGCUACCUGAAUGUUCUUCCUUAUCUUAGCAAUCUUUGUAGCAGUUUCGUCUGUUAACACUGGUCCAAGUAAUUUCCUUUCCCUAACUUCUUUCCAGCAGAUUGGUGACCUACACGGUCGGCCAUACAAUGCUUCAUAGGGGGUGAUAUCAAUGUUUGUUUGGUAGCUGUUGUUAUAAG
rnacentral:lncRNA from 1 species